rnacentral:lncRNA from 1 species
AUGCCCCUGCGCACCCCACAAGCACCGUUGGAUAUCCACACACCCCAUGGAGCACCCUGCGGUGACCCUCGUCCCUGUGCACCCCACAGCGCACCCUUGGGUGUCUGUGCACCCCAUAUGGAGCACUCUGGGCUCACCCUGUUCCUGCAUACCCCACGCCACACCGUACUGCCCCCAACCCUGGCAGGGACCGUCCCUCCACCACCACCUGUGGGUCCACACCUCCCCCAGCACCGGCUCCCCAAACCCAGCAUCCUGCAAGCACCUCACACUCCCCCCAGCAGCUCACAAACCCACCGCCACCCCAUUCACCAGAGGGAAGAGCUCCUCCCCAGCGCCCCAGGGGGCUGGGGGGGCUCACACCCCAUUACCUGUGGGGGGGACGUGGUGAUGGGCCACCCGCACGGCUCCAUGGCCCCCGGUGCUGCCACUGCCGGAGCGAGGACAGGGAGCGGAAACGCGCGCGGGGACACGCGGCGGCGGUGGGGCCGGGUGGGGGGGGAGCUGUGUGAUGUUAUUAUUAUUUUUUUCCUUCCACCUCCCCCCCCCCCUUUAGUUUGCUUAAAAACUACAAGAGACUCAGGAAAUGCCAAGUCACUUGUGGCCCCAACGACAUUUCCUCCGGGGGAGGCUCACGCGGAGCCGCUGUCACCGCUGCGCAUGGGGCUGUGGCAGCAUCCCGCCGUGCCACCGCAGCCCUGGGGACACCCAACCCCACGGGUGCAGCGAGUCGGCCCGUUCUCAGCAUCCCGCCUCGGCGGCACCCCACUGCUGUCCCCCUGUCCUGCUGUCACUGUCACCUUACCGCGUCCCCCUUGUCCCCACGCCGGCGUCCCAUGGCGCGCUGCUCGCCCCCGCGGUGCCCGCCCCGCUGGCAGAGCCUGUUGGGUGGCUUUGGGGCUCACGGCGCGGUGCCGCCUGGGAACGGUGCUCUCAGCGCCAGCACCUCCGUGCCACUGUCCCCGAGGGGUGACCCCUGUCCCCACACACCCUAUAGCUCGGUCCUUAUGGGAGUUCAGGUUAGGGUCUGGCCCCCAGCGGUCCUGCACUGCCACUGGGGUUUGGUACCCAAUGGUGACCCCGUGCCCACCGGGAGUCGGACCCCAUCCUCUCUAA